rnacentral:rRNA from 1 species
UACGGGGGGGGCAAGCGUUGUUCGGAAUUACUGGGCGUAAAGGGCGCGUAGGCGGCUCGUCAAGUCGGGCGUGAAAUCUCCAGGCUUAACCUGGAAAAGUCGUUCGAUACUGUUGAGCUAGAGUGUGGAAGAGGCUACUGGAAUUCCGUGUGUAGCGGUGAAAUGCGUAGAUAUACGGAGGAACACCAGCGGCGAAGGGCGGGAUGAGCUGGGGCCAACACUGACGCUGAUGCGCGAAAGCCAGGGUAGCAAACGGG